CACACGACAUUGAAAUACCGGUUCCUGUACGAUCACCAAAGUUAAGCAAUGUCGACCUCGGUCAGUACCUACAUGAGUGACCGCUUGAGAAUACCAACUGCUGUAA